rnacentral:rRNA from 1 species
AUUGAACGCUGGCGGCAGGCCUAACACAUGCAAGUCGAGCGGAUGAAGGGAGCUUGCUCCUGGAUUCAGCGGCGGACGGGUGAGUAAUGCCUAGGAAUCUGCCUGGUAGUGGGGGAUAACGUCCGGAAACGGGCGCUAAUACCGCAUACGUCCUGAGGGAGAAAGUGGGGGAUCUUCGGACCUCACGCUAUCAGAUGAGCCUAGGUCGGAUUAGCUAGUUGGUGGGGUAAAGGCCUACCAAGGCGACGAUCCGUAACUGGUCUGAGAGGAUGAUCAGUCACACUGGAACUGAGACACGGUCCAGACUCCGACGGGAGGCAGCAGUGGGGAAUAUUGGACAAUGGGCGAAAGCCGGAUCCAGCCAUGCCGCGUGUGUGAAGAAGGUCUUCGGAUUGUAAAGCACUUUAAGUUGGGAGGAAGGGCAGUAAGUUAAUACCUUGCUGUUUUGACGUUACCAACAGAAUAAGCACCGGCUAACUUCGUG